UCUGGAUCGCUAAGGAAGGAGAAAAAUAAGGAGGUGAGUCUGAGGAAGGGCGAAGAUGGGGUGCCCCCUUGCUCGGGCUGUUCUACAGAAAACAGCGAGUACUGGGGAGCCAGCUAGUAAGCGCGAAUUUACAGAGAAUGUCCACCAGGGGGCAGCAGAGCAGAGGGAUCAGAGGUUCUGUCACAGAAUUCUAGAAUGGGGGAGGAGGCGUUGACGGGGUAAGGGUGACGGGGGUGGGGUUUGGAGUCGGGAGACAGGACUCGCGGGGGUGGGAACCACAACACGGGACCCCAACAGGCACUCCACAAUUGUCUUUUUAUCUCAACUGCCCUCAUGGAGACAUGGUGGAAAAAAAAAAAAAAAGACUCCAGCAGAGACUCCAGCAUCCUGUGAUGCACUGAACGCUAGCCGGUGUCCACGGAGGUCCGGUGACUCGGUAUGCACAAUGCCACACACUUGGAAACUGGAAACACAUCUACAUGGCCCUGUGCAGCAACUACAGGGACCAAUGGAGGCCACACUUCUCUCUCCUGUCACGGACUUCAGCUCCCAGGAGCAACCCAGGAACCACCAGAAAUGCCAGCCGGCCGGGAUGUCAAGCCCUUUCAACAGGUCCCUGAUCGAUGUUCCUGCCAGAGUAGCUGCUUGUGGCUGUCCCUGUGGCCUAUGUGUAAGGCUCUUUGGGGCUGACACACUGCAAUUCUGACGAUGGCAUCAGGAGGUGAUAAGGUCAAGAGGGCGAAGCCCUCGGGAUUGGAAUCCUGCUGGCUUCAAAGGGAGCUGCCUGCACCCCACCCCGCAGAAGGACCCAUGGAGAGC
rnacentral:lncRNA from 1 species